rnacentral:rRNA from 1 species
AUUGAACGCUGGCGGCAGGCUUAACACAUGCAAGUCGAGCGGAGUGAUGGUGCUUGCACUAUCACUUAGCGGCGGACGAGUGAGUAAUGCUUAGGAAUCUGCCAUUUAGUGGGGACAACAUUCCGAAAGGAAUGCUAAUACCGCAUACGUCCUACGGGAGAAAGCAGGGGAUCUUCGGACCUUGCGCUAAAUGAUGAGCCUAAGUCGGAUUAGCUAGUUGGUGGGGUAAAGGCCUACCAAGGCGACGAUCUGUAGCGGGUCUGAGAGGAUGAUCCGCCACACUGGGACUGAGACACGGCCCAGACUCCUACGGGAGGCAGCAGUGGGGAAUAUUGGACAAUGGGCGGAAGCCUGAUCCAGCCAUGCCGCGUGUGUGAAGAAGGCCUUUUGGUUGUAAAGCACUUUAAGCGAGGAGGAGGCUACUAGUACUAAUACUACUGGAUAGUGGACGUUACUCGCAGAAUAAGCACCGGCUAACUACGUGCCAGCCGCCGCAGUAAUAC